ACUUCAGAUUCAUUAUACUGCCCAAAAUGUGCAGUGAUUUUCCUUUUACACUGAAACAUGCCCAGAAUUUGUAAGUUAAAAUUUAAUUUUUUCCAACAAUUUUUUUUCCCAUGGCGUAAAAAGGAUGAAUAUUCCAAACGGUAAAGAGAGGCCUUAAAGAAUCAGGUAGGACCAGAGGAGGAUAUUCAGUGACACAGCAUGAAACCAUGGACUGUGUCUUCUGUACUUCAAUGGCUUCACAUCGAGUCACACGGGAUCCUCUGUGACUCAGGAGAGCUUGGAGAGAUGGACCACUGACAAGGGACGAGGGUACUGACCUUUUGACUAGACAAGCUGUUGAUACACUGAAAUCCAUGAUGUAUCAAAGCCAUGCAGGCCCAAACUAGAGCUUGUGUCUUAGCCUCUCCAGAAGGCAUCCAAAAAGGGCCAGGAAAUGUGUACAUCACCAGGUCCUGUAGAUGGAGAAACCAGCUCAAGUAUCAAUGCAUUGGCUGCCUGCAGUUUGAAGAGCAUUCUGGAAAAGAACAAGCAUUGUGGGACUUACAGAAACAACCACAGAAACAGAUAAUGAGGAGGAUGUGCCUGGUUCCAGGAGAGAGACCAUUCCCCAGCUACUCUUGAGCUAACAGGUUUUUGUUGUUUCUACUAUUUUUAAUGAGAAAAGCAGAAAUAAAUACCAAAGUAUUACACCCCUUUACACUGGAAUGUAAUAAUUUUUUCUUUAAUCUAGAAAAUGAUACCUAGUUCUCAUUUCACAGAAUGAAUACAUCAUUCCCAAUGAUUCCAUUGACUACCCCAUGGACUAAGUGGGCUCCACUGACUUUUACAGUCAACCUUCUGUUACCCCUGAAGUCUCCCUUGAGGCUUGGUCUGUGGUCAGACAAGGCGAAGGGUGAUUUAUAACAAAUGCUGCUUACAGAGGGAUAUUAUUAAACCGUAAGAUAAUUCUUAGCUUCAAAAAAAAUUGUCAAAAGAAAAGAACACUUCCCCCCAAUAUGUAGACUUGUUUCAAUAAACAUUUGUUAUGCCUUUCCCAUAUGCUGCAUGUAGAGGGAAGAGCAGACAAUGCCAGUUAGAGACAUUCAAUGCCCUGGGAGACCCAAGAUUGUUUUCCUCCAGUGAGCAACACCCACACAGAAGUGCACAAGUACAAAGAAGAAUUGUGUGAGAUAUUUCUUAUGCUAUGAAAACACAAUGUUUCAGAGAAAGUGUUUACAUGAGAAUUGCAUUCUCCACAAUAUUACAUUACAUAGUUAGGAGUGUUGCAUUUUUUUAUGAGCAAAAUAUAUUUUCAGGA